CCUGCGGAGGGAUCAUUACCGAGUUUACAACUCCCAAACCCCUGUGAACAUACCACUUGUUGCCUCGGCGGAUCAGCCCGCUCCCGGUAAAACGGGACGGCCCGCCAGAGGACCCCUAAACUCUGUUUCUAUAUGUAACUUCUGAGUAAAACCAUAAAUAAAUCAAAACUUUCAACAACGGAUCUCUUGGUUCUGGCAUCGAUGAAGAACGCAGCAAAAUGCGAUAAGUAAUGUGAAUUGCAGAAUUCAGUGAAUCAUCGAAUCUUUGAACGCACAUUGCGCCCGCCAGUAUUCUGGCGGGCAUGCCUGUUCGAGCGUCAUUUCAACCCUCAAGCACAGCUUGGUGUUGGGACUCGCGUUAAUUCGCGUUCCUCAAAUUGAUUGGCGGUCACGUCGAGCUUCCAUAGCGUAGUAGUAAAACCCUCGUUACUGGUAAUCGUCGCGGCCACGCCGUUAAACCCCCAACUUCUGAAUGU
rnacentral:sRNA from 1 species